rnacentral:rRNA from 1 species
GACGAACGCUGGCGGCGUGCUUAACACAUGCAAGUCGAACGAAAAGAGGGAAAGAGCUUGCUCUUUCCGGAAUUGAGUGGCAAACGGGUGAGUAACACGUAAACAACCUGCCUUCAGGAUGGGGACAACAGACGGAAACGACUGCUAAUACCGAAUAAGUUCCAAGGGCCGCAUGGCCCAUGGAAGAAAAGGUGGCCUCUACCUGUAAGCUAUCGCCUGAAGAGGGGUUUGCGUCUGAUUAGCUGGUUGGAGGGGUAACGGCCCACCAAGGCGACGAUCAGUAGCCGGUCUGAGAGGAUGAACGGCCACACUGGAACUGAGACACGGUCCAGACUCCUACGGGAGGCAGCAGUGGGGAAUCUUCCGCAAUGGGCGAAAGCCUGACGGAGCAACGCCGCGUGAGUGAUGACGGCCUUCGGGUUGUAAAACUCUGUGAUCCGGGACGAAAAGGCAGAGUGCGAAGAACAAACUGCAUUGACGGUACCG